rnacentral:lncRNA from 10 species
GAUGAACAUUUCUUCACCUAGUAGCUGAGAACAGCAAAUGUGGACAUUUAUGAGCCUGCCACCGGAGGGGAAAUGUGGGAAAACCCUGGACUUGAGCCCAGCACCAGCGAGACCAAGGUCGAGGAUUUUGUUCCCUUUUCCUCCCCCCAUUUGCUUUGCUUUGUUCUAUGGCCACAGAUGGCCACACAAGCCCCAGCCGUUUGUUUUAACUGAAUGCUGGCGGUCAUACAGGACAGAGCAAAGGACUGUGGUUAGAUCAGCAUAGAUCCAUCACUGUUUACUGGAAAAACCACUUAGGAGAGCAUGCUCUACCAACUGUGGGUCGAGAAGCAUAGUCACAUAGUAAUAGCUACUGUUGUUAAUGCUCACCGUGGGCCAGGAAUGGAGCUGGAUGUUUUAUGUGUGUCAUCUUUAACUGUCACAUUAAAUGACAUUAAAUAGCAGCAAGCAAUUAGUAUUUGCUAUUUUCCUAUCUCCAAGUUUUCUUGCCACCGUCUCAUUAUAUUGAACUAGAUUUUGUUAAAAGGAGAAAAAGAUAUGGUCCUUGUCCUUGAGGAGUUGACAGCAUAGUUGGGAAGAAGAGAUUUAAGGACACUUGAGUGUAAAUGAUUACAGUACAGAUUGAUGACAUAAGUGCUGAGGAGACUCUAGAGAGGAGUUUUGGGAGUUGGGUGGAGAUGAUUAGGAAGCUUCUAGUCUGAGACAACUCUGGCAGAGGACAGAAAAACCGCAGAAUGAAAGCCCAGACCAAUAUAGACUUUGACAGUAAAUCAUUUGCAUCGAAGUUUGGUUACGGGUUCAGUGCAGUUACGGGCGGAGGCUGGAAGACUGGGGAGAGGUAGAGUGAUUGUGAAAUUUCUAAUUCCAGGGAAGCUGCUGGCACUUACUAGAAUGGGGAAGGCAGGGGUUUUAGCCAGAGGUGAUUGAUGGGAGCGAGCUUGAUAAGCAGUAGGUGGGAGACAGGCUAGACAUCUGGCUUGACUGGGGAGAGGGGGACAGAGAUGAAGAGAGUUUGAAGGGAGAUGGGCACAGGGAUUGUGGGAGGGCCUGGCAGGGGGGCAGAAGGUCACCUGUGCCCUGGCCCACAAACUGUUUCAGACUGACUGCACGCAGUUAAACUGGUCUCAGAUGUCCACAGCAGACAGAACCCCAUGCUGGGUGCUAGGGGUGGGGUGGGAUUACCAAAGACGCAGAAGACAGUCCUGACCUCAAAGCAUUUCCAGUCUAGUGGGGGAUAUUAGCAGGCUAUUUCAGGCAAGUGUUCUGAGCUGGGUUUUUUGUAUAAUGGCUUUAAUAAAAAUAAAGGCUUUGUAGUAUAUAGAGGUAAAAACAGCUCCAACUUUUCUCCCCCAGGAUUUGGGCUGUGGAAUUGGCUUCUCAGCCCCUAACACCACACCAUCUGGGCACAUGAGAAACUUCUGCUUUCAUCCUGUGGAUUAAUGAAUAUGUUUUCUUCUCUUGCAGAAGAAAGGUGAGCAGCCAACAGGCCAGCAGCGGCGGAAACACCAGAUCACAUAUCUUAUUCAUCAGGCCAAGGAGCGGGAGCUGGAACUGAAGAACACCUGGUCAGAGAACAAGCUCAGCCGCCGUCAGACCCAAGCCAAAUAUGGAUUCUAGGGCUCUGGAACUGAUUGCUCCCAGGAUCUCCUGCCAGCCCAGCUGGCCUGGCCCCCAGCUUCACCUCUGGGACCCCAGCUGCUCUAAGCCCAGGAUCUCUUUCCCCAAGGACCCAGCCCUCGCCUCUGCGAGAAUGAACAUAUUUGAUAGAUUUUUCUUAACAAGUUAGAAAAUUCAGCUCCUUUCUGUCCUGGAGCUAGCAAAGACUUGUGUGAUGCCUCCGAAGGGGCUCUGAGUUCUGGGGUGGGAGUUUUGCUCUCUGUCAGGUGUGAUAAAAUGUUGAACCCUCCCCACCACCACUUUUUUUUUUUUAAACCAGGGAUGUCUGUUGAAAUAAAACAUUCAGUCUGAC